rnacentral:rRNA from 1 species
CAGCAUCCGCGGUAAUACGUAGGGUGCGAGCGUUGUCCGGAAUUACUGGGCGUAAAGAGCUCGUAGGUGGUUUGUCGCGUUGUUCGUGAAAACUCACAGCUUAACUGUGGGCGUGCGGGCGAUACGGGCAGACUAGAGUACUGCAGGGGAGACUGGAAUUCCUGGUGUAGCGGUGGAAUGCGCAGAUAUCAGGAGGAACACCGGUGGCGAAGGCGGGUCUCUGGGCAGUAACUGACGCUGAGGAGCGAAAGCGUGGGGAGCGUACAGGAUUAGAUACCCUGGUAGUCCACGCCGUAAACGGUGGGUACUAGGUGUGGGUUCCUUUCCUUGGGAUCCGUGCCGUAGCUAACGCAUUAAGUACCCCGCCUGGGGAGUACGGCCGCAAGGCUAAAACUCAAAGGAAUUGACGGGGGCCCGCACAAUCGUCGGAGCAUGUGGAUUAAUUCGAUGCAACGCGAAGAACCUUACCUGGGUUUGACAU